AUAUCUCGUGUCUUCUGUUCUUCCAACCAUAGCUCUCUUCCCUCGUUCUAUCAAUAUUUAUUACUCAAAACAAUCAAUAGAAAUUAGGGGAAUAAUUUUAGGAUUUUGAAUUCAAAUUCAAGUUCAACCAACUCUCUGUUCCAGGUGAAUUUGUCUUCCUACAGAGAGUACGAGAGGAGCUUGCAGCAGUAAGCCGGGAGCUUACAGCAGGCUACCAAAGCUUCCAGUGUUAGUAUUUCGCUACCAAAGCUUCCAGUGUUAGUAUUUCGUUAUUUUGAUGUGUAUAUCACGGGGAUAAUAUGGGGUAGUUUACUUUCGGUUUCGACUCAUGUAUUACCAUAUUUUGCUUUGUAAAUAUACAAGCUAAGAUAUGAUUUUGGGUGUUUGUAUUAACUUUACACAGAAACUUCCUUUAUCGUUAGUGUGUCGGCAUGUUUUAAUGAUGUACUGCUAUCUACUUAGAACUCGCCUACUUUAAUACACUAGCAGGUCUUAGUUUGCACAUGGCUAUCUCUUUAAUUCACUUCUGUGUUUCUAGAGAAUGUAUGAAUAGAAGUGGUAAUGGGAAAUGUUGUACUGAAUGUCAUUUUAAGUGACUAGUGUGCUUGGGCUAAA